AAACCGGCGUUUUAAACCUCCAUAUUUGAAUUUUGAAAUUCAUAUCCCCUACUCCCACUCCCAGUUCUCUCUCAUCAUGUUUGAAUUUUGAAAUUCACAUUCCCUACUUCCACUCCCAGUUCUCUCUCUUGAUUCUUUGAUCUUGUUCUUUUUCAGGAGCAACCUAAAUCUCAAAGUCGGUCCGAUAUUGAAGGGUUUCUUAUCUUGAAUCGUUGUUAGGCGGCUACAAUUGAAUGAGCAAAUGGCUGAGAGGUAUGUGUUCUAUCAUAAUCGUAAGAAGGGUGAAGGGUUGUGCCAAACUGGGUUCCGAUCUGAGUUUCAAGGAUUUAUGACCUUUGACUGGGUUCUGAUUUAAGCAAACCAAAGAUACAGCAAUCAAGCUUGAUCUGGACGGGCUUGUUGUUAUUGGAGGACAUGAUUCAACACAAAUACUUGCCUUCAUGAAAAUCAACCUGCCAACAUGAAAGUUUUAGGAUCAAGAAUAGACUUGAGUCAUUAGAUGCCCAGAGGCCAUUGAUGGAGACUUGAAAUGUAAAGAAGUUCUUACAAGUUUUGGUGUCGAUACUGCAUUCACUGGUUUUUGAGACGGGGAACACCAACUUCUUCGCAACAAUUGGUGCGAUCUUCUCCGCAACUGAUUUUGUUUCCACUUUGAAGGUUAAUCGUUCAUCAGGUUGGGUUGUUGACAAUAGGCAAAUGAGGAGUAUCUAUCUUACAUGAUAUCGAAGUCAAACGGUCAAUAGGCACACAGUGAGAAGUAUGGCAUUAAGGGGAUAAUACGUUUAAGUUUGAUGCUAAAUGGGGCCGGUUAGGUAACGGGUCGAAUGAGUAAUCACGGAAUGGGUUUGCUGAUGUUGGGUUGUUGGCACUAAUAGGUAGGAAUGUGUUGUGAUUUGGAUCCAAACUGCUCCUCGUGGCUUUUUGGUAAUUCCUUCUAUUUUUAAAUAUUCAUGUAAUAACUACAAUUUAGUUUAUGAUAUGAUUUGAAUUUG
rnacentral:lncRNA from 1 species